AAGGGACUGCUGGUGGAUUACUUCUAACAGAGGCUAGCAAGAAGAAUCCCUUCAGUUUUUUUUGGAAUUCACAGUGAGAAGAUCUUUUGAAUUAGAAGUUGUUUGUUAAGUAAAGAGGGACUCAUGUGGAUGGUUCUUCACCAUGGACGAGCAAAGAUCGAAACCUAUGACUGAAACUUUUGUUCGCCUUUAUAAAGAUCGUCAUUUUUAUAGGAGCUAUCCAAAUUCUCGUGCUUUGGAUGUAUACAAGGAGGCUGAGGAGUUGCUGGAAGAAGAACCACAUGUGGAGUUCAGUGGCGAGGUUCCUUACCCAACUUAUUUUAUUGCAGGAAUUUGUGUACAAGUAUAUCAUCAUGCUUGCAUUUUCUUCGUUUUCUCUGACAUAAAUUUUUUUUUCUACAUUCUAGACAUCUUAAUUUCAGUAAUUUCAGUUCCACUUGAUUUGUUAUUUUGUAUUGA